UGCCAGCCGCCGCGGUAAUACGGAGGGUGCGAGCGUUAAUCGGAAUUACUGGGCGUAAAGCGUGCGCAGGUGGUUUUGUAAGUCAGAGGUGAAAGCCCCGGGCUCAACUUGGGAACUGCCUUUGAUACUGUUUAUCUAGAGUCCGAGAGAGGUUAGUGGAAUUCCCAGUGUAGAGGUGAAAUUCGUAGAUAUUUGGAGGAACACCAGUGGCGAAGGCGGCCUACUGGCUCACUACUGACGCUCAGGGACGAAAGCGUGGGGAGCGAACAGGAUUAGAUA
rnacentral:rRNA from 1 species